UGCAGUCGAGCGGAUGAGUGGAGCUUGCUCCAUGAUUCAGCGGCGGACGGGUGAGUAAUGCCUAGGAAUCUGCCUGGUAGUGGGGGACAACGUUUCGAAAGGAACGCUAAUACCGCAUACGUCCUACGGGAGAAAGUGGGGGAUCUUCGGACCUCACGCUAUCAGAUGAGCCUAGGUCGGAUUAGCUAGUUGGUGAGGUAA
rnacentral:rRNA from 1 species